GAUUAGAGUCUUGGUAAAUACAAGUUUGACAUUAAAAGUCAAAGCAUGACGGCAAGUAGAUAGAUUGGUAAAUUAGUAAAAAAUAUAUGAUAGCCAUAUUGGAUGAUGGUGAUAUAUUCCAACCGAACCCAUAUCAAUGUAAAACAGAGAUAUAUUAGUCAAGACAAAAAGGAUACUCAGGAGAAUGUGCUCUUCCUUCUGUGACGGUUCCAUGAACUGCUUUCACGGGCUUCACUUUAAUCUUCGGCCUGAAUAAAGAAAACUAUAACUUCAAACGUCUUCGAAAUGACAAUUUUUUGGUCAUAUACUUGCAUUAUGUUUAAUGAUUGUCAGAAAUUGUCGAACAUUCAAAAAAUUAGUUGUAUGAUGAUUCAGCUAUAAACAACGAAAGCACCGCCGAAGUUUUAUAACCGAUUAUUUGAUAAU
rnacentral:lncRNA from 1 species